rnacentral:rRNA from 1 species
GUGGGGAAUAUUGGACAAUGGGCGAAAGCCUGAUCCAGCCAUGCCGCGUGUGUGAAGAAGGUCUUCGGAUUGUAAAGCACUUUAAGUUGGGAGGAAGGGCAGUAAGUUAAUACCUUGCUGUUUUGACGUUACCGACAGAAUAAGCACCGGCUAACUUCGUGCCAGCAGCCGCGGUAAUACGAAGGGUGCAAGCGUUAAUCGGAAUUACUGGGCGUACAGCGCGCGUAGGUGGUUUUGUAAGUUGGAGGUGAGAUCCCCGGGCUCAACCUGGGAACUGCCUCCAAAACUGCAUGACUAGAGUACGGUAGAGGGGAGUGGAAUUUCCUGUGUAGCGGUGAAAUGCGUAGAUAUAGGAAGGAACACCAGUGGCGAAGGCGACUACCUGGACUGAUACUGACACUGAGGUGCGAAAGCGUGGGGAGCAAACAGGAUUAGAAACCCCGGUAGUCC